rnacentral:rRNA from 1 species
GAUGAACGCUGGCGGCGUGCCUAAUACAUGCAAGUCGAGCGAACAGACGAGGAGCUUGCUCCUCUGACGUUAGCGGCGGACGGGUGAGUAACACGUGGAUAACCUACCUAUAAGACUGGGAUAACUUCGGGAAACCGGAGCUAAUACCGGAUAAUAUAUUGAACCGCAUGGUUCAAUAGUGAAAGACGGUUUUGCUGUCACUUAUAGAUGGAUCCGCGCCGCAUUAGCUAGUUGGUAAGGUAACGGCUUACCAAGGCAACGAUGCGUAGCCGACCUGAGAGGGUGAUCGGCCACACUGGAACUGAGACAUGGUCCAGACUCCUACGGGAGGCAGCAGUAGGGAAUCUUCCGCAAUGGGCGAAAGCUUGACGGAGCAACGCCGCGUGAGUGAUGAAGGUCUUCGGAUCGUAAAACUCUGUUAUUAGGGAAGAACAAAUGUGUAAGUAACUAUGCACGUCUUGACGGUACCUAAUCAGAAAGCCACGGCUAACUACGUG